GGACGGGUGGCCGAGUGGUUUAAGGCAGCGGUCUUGAAAACCGCCAGAGGGGCAACCCUCUCGUGAGUUCGAAUCUCACCCCGUCCGCCA
rnacentral:tRNA from 1 species